rnacentral:lncRNA from 1 species
GGGACCGAGAGCUGCGGGCGGGCUGGAGGUACCCCACCGCGGGGUGGUGCUCUGACUGCGGGAACCGUUGAAGAGCUGCCCCCGGGGAGUCAGCGAGGCGCCACUGGUCUCUUAGACAUCUUCUCAAGAUUAUGCUAAGAGAAAUGACUGCACCCUUUUCCUGAGCUAUGGCAGUCAGACCUGGCAGUGGUAACUACUCUACAGAACUCCCAAACCUGGCAAGGAUGGUGCAGAUUUUGGCAGAUUAUGGCUUUGUCCCCACCCAGCACUGAUGAUAUUAUAAAACCUAUACUACAAGAAAUGAUAAUGGAAGUUCUUCAACUGAGCAAGAAAUGAUAUUAACAGAAAACUUGGAUCUUCAGAAGCAAAUGAAGAACAUCAGA